GUGCUAGGAUUACAGGCAUGAGCCACCACCCCUGGCCUGAAACUGAUUCUUAAAUUUUGGUAGCACAUAUACUAAACUUGGAAUGAUAAAGAGAAGACUAGAAUGGCCCCUGUGCAAGGAUGACAUGCAAAUUUGUGAAGCAUUCCAUAUUUUU
rnacentral:snRNA from 1 species